rnacentral:rRNA from 1 species
UACGUAGGGUGCGAGCGUUAAUCGGAAUUACUGGGCGUAAAGCGUGCGCAGGCGGUUUUGUAAGCCAGAUGUGAAAGCCCCGGGCUUAACCCUGGGAAUGGCAUUUGGGACUGCAAGGCUUGAGUGCGGCAGAGGAGACUGGAAUUCCUGGUGUAGCAGUGAAAUGCGUAGAUAUCAGGAGGAAUACCGAUGCGGAAGGCAGGUCUCUGGGCUGACACUGACGCUCAUGCACGAAAGCGUGGGGAGCGAAA